CCGCCCCUUCCUGUCUCCAGGUGAGGAACAAUCCCAAACGCUCCUGUCGGUUCAACCGCACCAUGCUGGGCGACUGCUCAGGGAUGGAGGACCGUUCCUAUGGUUACAGCAAAGCCCAGCCCUGCAUCCUGAUCAAACUUAACCGGGUGAUCGGGAUGUUACCUGGGAAGGACGGACAGUCUCCUUAUGUCACCUGUGGAGCCAAGAAGGAGGACAGAGAGAAGAUGGGACCUCUGACCUACUUUCCUGUUAACGCGACCUUUAACCUCAUGUACUAUCCGUACUACGGGAA